CCCUUAGAUGUCCUGGGCCGCACGCGCGUUACACUGAUGCAUUCAACGAGCUUAUAACCUUGGCCGAGAGGCCUGGGCAAUCUUGUUAACGUGCAUCGUGAUAGGGAUAGAUUAUUGAAAUUAUUAAUCUUGAACGAGGAAUUCCUGGUAAACGCAGAUCAUCAAUCUGCAUUGAUUACGUCCCUGCCCUUUGUACACACCGCCCGUCGCACCUACCGAUUGGAUGGUCCGGUGAAGCCUCGGGAUUGUGGUUCUUGCCGCUUUAUUGUGGCGUGACCGCGAGAACUUGUCUAAACCUUAUCAUCUAGAGGAAGGUGAAGCCGUAACA
rnacentral:rRNA from 1 species